UGAAUAAUCCUCAAUUUGUUCAAAACACAUUUAUGGUAAUGUUAAAUCAUCAUUCGGACCUGCCCGAAUUAACAUUUGGUUUUCCUUCCAAACCCUAGAAAUACGAAAACCCUAUUCUGUAAAUAAAAUUGCGUCAUCGGUAGCGAGUGAAAUUGAGUAAUUCUGUGGUUGUAGUUGACGUUACCGAUGUUACUCUGGCAAGCUCCGAGUUUACAUCCACCCAUCGUGCUGGUGAACAAUGGCGUCAGGUAGUGCAGGAAGGCAAGGCUCUAAACGUAAGGCUGAUGAGAACACCUCAUUCAAAGUUGUCCGUUCAAACGUCCACCCGGUUGGACUGUGAUGGUGCACGAUUUGGAAACUGGGACGUGGAAGCAUCACAAUUCCAUGAGGUAAAGACAAAGGAUGCAAGAUGAGCAUUACAAUGAGGCACUGAAAGUGAAACAUUGGAUGGUCGACCACCAUACUAGCUUCGUGAAACCAAGGAUGGUAACCAACAAUGCACUGAUCCAAGAUUUUGAUGGCACGCUUGUGUUGGUUGUAGACUUCCCACAAGAAGGACCGAACACGUCGGACUAUGCGAUCUUCAUUUGUUUCAUCAUCCGACAAUACGUUCACAGGGUUGAAAUUGACAACACAAUAGAUGGACUAACACAAUCCGUUCUACGCGCGAUGAUGGUGAAAAUGUUCAUGAUCAACCCAACAAGAGGACGACUACGUGGUAGGAUAGCAUGCUAUGUUUGACAGCCCCCCAAUCCCCCCACCCCCUGCAAGUUUGACUUGGGUUUUGCAUUUUUUUUUUUUUGGGUUCAUUUUUUGACAUUGAUGAACAUUGUGGAAGCCAGUGUUUCAUGCCAAUUUUUGUUGGCCAUUUAAUUAGGUGAAUUUUGAUUUUGUUUUCACCAUGUGCCGUUAUGCCUUAGUAAACAAUUACAUUAUAUUGCAGUUAAUAAAAAUAUUAUUUUCGGUAUGUGUCAGUGUAUGAAUUUAUGUAUUUUGGGUCCACAACGAAUGGUGAUGUUGUUAUGUUUGUAUGGUAAAUGAGAAUUGUGAACGCGGUUGGUAUGAUUGUAAGUGUUUUAAACCUAGGUGUCAGUUAUGCAUUAGGUGCAUCAAAUUUUGUUUAAUGGAAAAUGUUGUUGUCCUGGUUAUUUUAAACAUCAUAUUGUAAUCGAAUUAUGCUAAUGUCACGGGAAUUUGAUAGGACCCAUUGUGAAUUUAUUUGUGGUUGCUCAAUGACUUGUUGAAACAAAGCAAGUUUGUACAUGGUAGUUGGUGGAUCUAUGCAUUCGAUAUGGAGAAUUACAUUACUGAAAAAAGUGUAUGUGGCCCCCCUUCAUGUGUGGCUCGUAAAUUACAUCACAAACAGUCAUAGUGAAAUUGAACUUUAACACAUAGAUCUCACCCCACCCCCUCGUACCUGGGUUCGAACAAAUUGAGUUACUAAAUAGUUGAAUACUUAAAAAACAACAUGUCAAUGGAUUUGAACAAAAUAAAGUAAUAAGCAUUCCAAAACUUGAUAACGAAUGGUAUGUCAUUGUGCGGCACCCGCCUUACCAUAAUAUGAACUUGAAUAAGAAUGACGUAAUAAACAGUUCAAUACGCUUUGGAUGUGACGCCCUUUGGCCAAAAUGUUUGGUGACAUAACCCAACAACACAGCAAAAAAAAUUGAAUGGUACACCUCUACAUUCCCCAAGUGCAUGUUGUAAUAUACCCAUAUUGUAACACAAACAAUGCCAUCAAACCACUUACAUGUGGCACCUAUGGUCUCAUUUUUUUUUUUUUUUUCUCUUCCCGUUUUCGCAUAAACACCGAAACCAAUGACUUAGUGAUCUACUAAACAAGUAGAUAAUUCGUAAAAAAUUGCAAAUUCACCAAAAAUAUUAUUUAUGUAGUAACGUAUAUUCCACGAAUUGGGCAUACACAUUAAAUAGGUAAAAUGUCAUAGACUUCUACUAAGAUAAAUUUGGGCAGAUGGGGUUGCCUGUAGGAAAGCGUGAACGGGAAUGACAUAGGAAAUUAUUUGUUGUGAACUUGAGUUUGACCACCGUAGGAAUCGAGUAGACCUAGAAUACGCUGCCCUAAACUCCUUAACGUGGUAAAAUGGAUCAAUGGACUCGUGGUAUUCCAGAAAGCAACUACCGCAUGAGAACAUGGGAAACAAUGGAAAAAAAAAAAAAUCAACCACAACUCCUUCAACAAAACCAAUGAUUCCACAUUAGAAACACCACACUAAUUGGGUAACAUCAUCAACCCUACAAAUCACUCCACGCAAUCCAAAAAAAAAAAAAAUAGAAACAGAACAACAUAUCAUAACAAACCCACCUAACAUCAAGAAAAAAUCAAAACAUUCCAGUUGUGAAUUUGUUAAUGUUAUUGGCAAUUUGUGGGUUGGGUUACGGAUGGUUUUUGACCCAUUGUGUUUGCUUUGGUGUGUUUACGUCAACUGUGAUGGUAAUGAUAUUUUGGGUUCCUCUGUUUUGUUGUUAGAGCAUGUUAGCUUGUUAUGGUAAUGGUUCAUUAGAGGCUUUUUAUUUUUAUUUAUUUUUUUUUGGGAGGGGGGGUGGUUUACAUUAACUGUAAUGAUGUUGGUAUUUUGUGAUUAUGAUUGUGUGCCUAGUGUUUUGUCAUAUUGGGUGCAGUGGACAAGGAGAUGGUUCCUCUGUUUUUGUUUUGGUGUGUAUUAGCGUAUGAUGAUGUGUAUUGGAAAUGAGAUUUGUAUAAUUAGAUGAUGGGAGUAGUUUGUGUGUGUAAUUUUGGUAUGCCAUCACACACCACCAACACCACAAAUAAAAUAAACAUACAACGUUUAACACAUCAAAUAGUCGAACUACUCACCUGUUACAAUAUGAUGGGCGUAAUCAACACCUGAUGACACCCAAGAAACACCACAGAAAAUGAGUGCAAAAAUGGAUUAUGGUCGCCACUGGAAAAAAUGCCCAACACGACAGGAAAUAACGCCACACUCUCCCUCCACAACAAUGAGAUCAAUGUUAAACAAUCAAAACAGAGUCCCCAUGAUAACAUUGCUCUGCCCUAUCCAAAACAGAAUCACUCAUUUAGGAAAACACAAUCACACCAAGAAUAUUCAUGUAAAAUCAAAUAGAACCAAAAUCACCUUAAAUAUAUAUAUAUAUAUAUAUAUGGGACUAAUUGGUCUACUAGAAAACUUUUAAGACUAAAUAAUUUAACUUUUCUUCAUAUAGGAUUUAUGGGUAAUUUUCCAAUUUAAUUAAGUAGAAGAGCAAUGCUAGGUGGCCCGAAAAGGAGGUUGGCUCGAAUGGCUUGAAUUUCACCUUGCCGGUCGUCUGCGUGAGAAGGCUAACAGCCGCGGUCGACAAAGGUGAUAACCGCGGUAGACAAGUUUUCAUCCGCUCGUCCGGGUGGAUGACCGGCCAACACCCAUUCGGACCAUUUGAGCAGCUUUUUUUCGAGCUACCAAGCAUUUUGCUAUGAAGAAUUGUACUCAUUUUUAAUUCCACCUUCCCAAUAUGGGUAAUUAUAUGUAUACUUUUUAAUCACAAUUCCUAAAUGAAUGUGAUUAUAUGCAUCACUCUUCCUUAUAAACCCCAUGGACUCCUUCAACUCUGCUCUCUCUCGAUCGAUUGAUCGACCAUGACAACACCAAAUCUACCUCCACUGCCACCACCGUUUCUUCUUCUUCCUCCAAAUCUGCCGCUGCGGAGUAUCUGAUCAUCAGUUUCCGGCAACGGUCAGCGGCGGCGAUGGAGGGAGGAGGCGGCGAAGUAGUUAUCAUUACAAAUUCUAUCUCCGGCGCUCCCGACGACCUCCACAACUCUACUUCUGGUUGGAAGACUGAAAGAUACAAGGAAAUUAUCAAAUCUGGAACUGUAAGUAGGAAUUUAUUUAUUCUUCAUUUAUGAUUACUUGUUAGUUCAUCUACAUGGGUGAUUAUUCUGGAUGAAUGAUUUCCAAGAAAAUCGAUUUGUCUUGUUAAUGGGCAAGUGGAGCCCAGACCUGGAGUUUUGAGAUUGAUGGAUAGGGCCAAGGCUGCCGUAAGAUAGACAUUUUACCUUAUAAAUGCAAUCGUCACUUUGUCAUGGCUCUUAAGUUUUCAUUGUAUUUGCAUCUGUUGUCCACAGUUAAUUAGGGAAGACAACUUUUCUUUCCAAAGUUUAGUCAAAUUCCAUGUUCCCUUUCUUACAUGAAGAAUCAUAUUUGAAUUAACCUUUUUGGUUGACGAUUAUUGGGUAAAAAUUAGCAGUCUGCUCUGCUGCAACUAAAAAAGUUCUUUUUCAAUCCUCAAACCCUUUCUUUUAUUCUAUCAAAUUUAAAUUUGAUGAAAAAUUGUCCAAAAUCCAUCUCCAACCUUUUCAUAAAAUGCUUAUCAAAUCAAGAAAAAAACACUUUUUUCAUCUCAUUGAGUGAAGCAUUUGGAAUAUUCUCUAUAUUGAGUGAAGCAUUACCAAAUUUCAUCAACAACAUGAGCACUAGGCAAGCAAAGUUAUCCUGAACCAGGUGCUUUGGCUUAUGCUCCCAUUUAGGUAUUAUUCUCCUGAACCAGGUGCUAGUGCCAGAAAUAAGGUCAAGAGACAUGUGCAUAUAUUUAGUUCUCAUAAGAAGGUAAAGCUCUUACAACAAGUGAAUAAACAUGUAUCAAGGUAGGUUGAUGUGCACCAUAACUCAUGACAAUGCUAAAUUCAGUAGGUGUAUGAUUUGUUUGACUAGAGUGUUUACAUAUGUUUCAAUGUACGGUAUUUUAUUUGAGUUUUUUUUAUUUUCUGAAAUGUUUAGUUCAUAUAAGAAGGUAAAGUUCCUGUAAGUGAAUAAACAUGUAUCAAGGUAGGCUGAUGUACACCAUAAAUUGAGUGUUUACAUAUAUUUCAAAUGUGUCAUAUGUGACUUGCGCUUUUAAUUUUCUGAAAGUCGAGCAUUCAUGCUACAUUAGUUAGGUGCUUUAACUUUCUAAUAAUUUAAUCUCAUUAUGCGAGUGUAUAAUCUAGGUGUCUAUAUAUAUUUAUAUGCAUGUAGGUUAGUGUCAUUGCCUUUUUAAUUUUGGGCAGCGAUACGACCCUUCAUAGUUCAUGGGGAUGCUUUGAACUUAUAGAUUUUUUACCCAAAGCUUAUUUGUGGUUCUCAUUUUUCUCUUCCUUUUUGAUUGCAAUAAUUUGUGUUUGUCAUGUGUUCUGGUUUUUGCAACUAACUUCUGCAGAUUGUUGGGUUGUGCGCUGCCUUCUAUUAUGUGGCAAUUUGGGUUGGAUACACAAACGUGCACUUAAUCUUUGGUGUUUCUACAACUUUAGAGCAUGUGCGGCUCAGUAGGGAGAGCUGAAUAAUCAGUUGAAGCAGUAGCUCUAGAAGAUCUAGGAGAAACAAAAUUCCAAGAAGGAAAUUGAAUAGCUUGAGUUGAAGUCUUGUUUUUACAAGCGUCAGUUCGCCAAGAGCAUUCACUAGCAUACCUAACAAACCAGAGAGGCGGUAAUAAUUAUAACACAACACUCUGAAAACGGCAAACAUAGCUGGGUCUUAUGUCAAAGUUACAAGUAACUUCGGAGUUGAAAUCUUAUACCCACUGUGAUUCAUUCCUUCCUCUAUGAUUCAUUCCUUCGUCUUCUAAAGUUAAUGACCCUUUCCCAUUGUCAAGCAUAAGGUCUUUAUUUUUAGCUGUUCAGUUACUUCAAUUGGUAUUGAUUUUUAAUAACCUUAGUUUUUGUUCUAUUUAUUAUUUAUUUAAUGGAAAUGGUUAAGUUUUAUCAUCAACUUAAGCGCUAACUAGGAACAAAAUCAUCUGUUCUUGCCAGCUGAAGCAAUGGAAUUUUAGUAUAUUCAAGUUGAGGCUUUUGUAUUGUUUUGGGAUUGGCCAAGCACUACGUUAGUGCUCUUUCAUCCCUAGCUUGAACCCUAAUUCAUUUUUUAUAUGAAUUACCCUUUCUCCGUUUUUCACAGUAUGGAGUUUGAAUUAUUUCGUUGGCCCCAACUCCAAGGGCUGUUCUCUAGAGAGACUCUAAAUCGUGUUACAUCUUGAUUAAGAGAGUAAUGUGAUUAUGUGAUAUUCUUUUUCCGGGAAAAUGCUUGACAUGUCAACAAAACACGAAGUAUCCCUCUUUUAUGUAGUGUAUUGCCCAGCUCUCUCCAUUUUAAUCUGUUCUUCUUUGUUCUUAGACCACUUAUCAAGAAUUUUAUAUUUUUCCUUACCUAUCCAGUUGAUGUAUCUGGAUGAUGUUACCCCUGCAUUUAAUUUUAAGUCUUAGCUGAUUAAUUCAAACUCUGAUAAAUCCUAUCAACUUUUUAGAUUUUUUUUUCUUCUAAUUUUUGUUUUCUUUAAUUUUAAACAAAUUAAUCAGUUUAUUUCUAUGC